rnacentral:rRNA from 1 species
GACGAACGCUGGCGGCGUGCCUAAUACAUGCAAGUAGAACGCAGUUGCGAACGGGUGAGUAACGCGUAGGUAACUGCCUCAUAGCGGGGGAUAACUAUUGGAAACGAUAGCUAAUACCGCAUACUGUGAGAUGGACAUGCGUUGUAUUAGCUAGUUGGUGAGGUAAAGGCUCACCAAGGCGACGAUACAGAGCCGAGCUGAGAGGGUUGCCGGCCACACUGGGACUGGGACACGGGUCAGAACCCUUCGGGGAGCAGCAGUAGGGAAUCUUCGGAAAGUGAGGGAAGUCUGACCGAGGAACGGCGGGGGAUAGGAGAAGGUUUUCGGAUCGUAAAACUCUGUUGUUAGGGAAGCGGUACCUAACCAGAAAGGGACGGCUAACUACGUGCCAGCCGCCGCGGUAAUUC